rnacentral:rRNA from 1 species
ACGGGGUAGUAAUGUGUCGGAACGUGCCCAGAGGACGGGGAUAGCGGCGGGAAACUGCCGGUAAUACCCGAUGAUCUCGAGAGAGCAAAGGUGUGAUUCCGCCUUUGGAGCGGCCGACAUGGUAUUAGCUAGUUGGCGGGGUAACGGCCCACCAAGGCUGUGAUGCCUAGGGGAUGUGAGAGCAUGAUCCCCACCAUUGGGACUGAGACACUGCCCAGACACCUACGGGUGGCUGCAGUCGAGAAUCUUCGUCAAUGGGCGAAAGCCUGAACGAGCGACGCCGCGUGCGGGAUGAAGGCCCUUGGGUUGUAAACCGCUGUCGAGGGGGAUGAAGGCUUGAAGGUACUCCUUCAAGUUUGACAGAGCCCUGGAGGAAGCACGGGCUAAGUUCGUGCCAGCAGCCGCGGUAAUACGAACUGUGCGAACGUUAUUCGGAAUCACUGGGCUUACAGGGUGCGUAGGCGGCUUUUCAGGUCAGGUGUGAAAGCCCCCGGCUCAACCGGGGAACUGCGCUUGAAACCGAAAAGCUCGAGUCAGCUAGAGGUACACGGAACUUCCAGUGGAGCGGUGAAAUGUGUUGA